AUUGAACGCUGGCGGCAGGCCUAACACAUGCAAGUCGAACGAGUGGCGGACGGGUGAGCAAUGUCUGGGCAACUGCCCGAUGGAGGGGGAUAACUACUGUAAACGGUAGCUAAUACCGCUUACCAUACGAUGUGCCCACAUGGGAUUAGCGUGUAGUUGAGGUAACGGCUCACCUAGGAGACGCUCUCUAGCUGGGCUGAGAGGAUGACCAGCAAAACGGGAACUGAGAAAGGGUCCAGACUCCUACGGGAGGCAGAAGUGGGUAAUAUUGCACAAUGGGCGCAAGCCUGAUGCAGCCAUGCCGCGUGUAUGAAGAAGGCCUGCGGGUUGUAAAGUACGUUCAGCGGGGAGGCGUUACCCGCAGAAGAAGCACCGGCUAACUCCGUGCCAGCAGCCGCGGUAAUUC
rnacentral:rRNA from 1 species